GAUCCUGGCUCAGGAUGAACGCUGGCGGCGUGCCUAACACAUGCAAGUCGAACGAAGCACCUUACCUGAUUCUUCGGAUGAAAGUUUGGUGACUGAGUGGCGGACGGGUGAGUAACGCGUGGGUAACCUGCCCUGUACAGGGGGAUAACAGCUGGAAACGGCUGCUAAUACCGCAUAAGCGCACGAGGGGACAUCUCCUUGUGUGAAAAACUCCGGUGGUACAGGAUGGGCCCGCGUCUGAUUAG
rnacentral:rRNA from 1 species